UACGGGGGGGGCAAGCGUUGUUCGGAAUUACUGGGCGUAAAGGGCUCGUAGGCGGCCAACUAAGUCGGACGUGAAAUCCCUCGGCUUAACCGGGGAACUGCGUCCGAUACUGGAUGGCUUGAGGUUGGGAGAGGGAUGCAGAAUUCCAGGUGUAGCGGUGAAAUGCGUAGAUAUCUGGAGGAAUACCGGUGGCGAAGGCGGCAUCCUGGACCGGCAUUGACGCUGAGGAGCGAAAGCCAGGGGAGCAAACGGG
rnacentral:rRNA from 1 species